CAGCCGCCGCGGUAAUACAGAGGGUGCGAGCGUUAAUCGGAUUUACUGGGCGUAAAGCGCACGUAGGCGGACAUUUAAGUCAGGGGUGAAAUCCCGGGGCUCAACCCCGGAACUGCCUUUGAUACUGGGUGUCUAGAGUAUGGAAGAGGUGAGUGGAAUUCCGAGUGUAGAGGUGAAAUUCGUAGAUAUUCGGAGGAACACCAGUGGCGAAGGCGGCUCACUGGUCCAUUACUGACGCUGAGGUGCGAAAGCGUGGGGAGCAAACAGGAUUAGAUACCCCCGUAGUCCCUGUCUCUUAUAC
rnacentral:rRNA from 1 species